rnacentral:tRNA from 1 species
UCAUUAAGUGACUGAAAGUAAGUAGUGGUCUCUUAAACCAUUAAAUAGUAGAAUAACAUAUACUCUUAAUG